AUGGAUCAUCUCCUCCUUUUCUCAUUCAAAUCAGUCAUGCAUUCAAAAUCCGCUUUCCUUCUGAUCGUGGUGGCAGUUAGCACCACGGCCAUGGUGCACGGCCACCCUGCCGCUAGCACUCCGGCGGCACGGUUCUGGGAGCAGGCCCUCUCCGGCACGCCUAUGCCGGAGGUGCUAGCUGAUUUUGUUCAGAAAGGAAUCGAUCUGUCACCGCUUGUGGAGCAAUACUCUGCACAGCCCAGUAUCGGCAUGUGCACACUGUUCAACACUAUCUGCGACGCGCGGACAGUGGCGGAGACCGGCAUCUUCUUCCACGAGGCCGAGCUACAUCCGGGCAGCACCAUGACCCUCUCUUUCCCAGCGGAGGCGGAGACAGCCAUCCUCCCGCACGACGUCGCCGGCAAGGUCCCCUUCGAGAACCUAAGCGACGUCCUCUCCACGUUCCACAUCUCACCAGGCUCCGCUGAGGCGGCGCAAGUGGAGGACACCCUGCGCAAGUGCCAGCAGCCGCCAAUCGCCGGUGAGAUGAAAGCCUGCACCAUGUCGCUAGAGAGCACUGUAAAGGCCGCCAUGGAGAUGCUCGGCACCACCAUCCAGCAGGGUGGUGGUGGUGGUGAUGUGUGGGCGGCCACGUCGACGCUCCCCCGCGGUGGCCUGCUACCACGCCGGGAGUACAUUGUCGAGGAGGUCACCAAGCUAGAGGGCACUGGCUACGUGGCCUGCCACAAGGUGCCGUUCCCAUACGCCGUCUUCCAUUGUCACAUCGCGCAUACGGGGUAUAUAGGUUACAAGGUCACCCUCCACGGCCGCGGCGACGACGAGGGCCCGGUGGUUUCCUUGCUGGCGUUCUGCCAUUUCGACACCUCCCGCUGGAAUCCGGCACACCCGGCGUUCCAGAUACUCAAGACCCACCCUGGUGCCGGUACGUCGGUGUGCCACUUCAUGUCGUAUGGCAAUCUCGCGUUCGUCAAGAAGGCACGCACAGCCUAG
rnacentral:rRNA from 1 species